UAUGCUUGUGAGGCAUUUGAGUUGGUGGGCAUGGGAAUUGUUGGUGUAGGUGAUUACGUUGUAACCCAUAGGGGUUAAGUGAUGGGUAAGUUGGGUGUGUUGAAUUUUCUGCACUAUGUAGUAGUUGUACAUUGAUGGUCCUGCUUGGUAUAUCCGCGUUGGGGGACCAUAUGCAUUCUAGAAGUGAGGAGGAUUAGUUGUACUUGGUACAUGUGAUGGGGGAAUCAUAUGCUUAUUUGGAUUCCUUUGAGUGAUGGUCCGGAAUCGUAUCCAACUUGUAUUUCAUCGAGUGGUUCGGUUCUAUAUGCAUGGUGCUCCGAGAUUCCGUUGAGUGAUGGUCUAGAAUCCCUUUUACACUACGAUUCUGUUGAGUGAUGGUCCGGAAUCUCUUUUACACCACGAUUCCGUUGAGUGAUGGUCCGGAAUUGUAUCCUGGUCUGGAUUCCGUUGAGUGGUCCGGAAUCCCUUUGGUGUCUUGGUCCCUUGGAUUUGUUUUCAGCUUCAAGGAUGUAGGCUUCGGCCGAAUUGCGUUCCUCUAACCUAGUGUUCAAUGUACAUAUGAACGAUGGAUUUUGAGAAUCUUGUGGUUUGAACUAGAAAAGUCGCUGGAUGUUUGGGUGACUCCUUCGGAGUUAUUGAGACUUGGCUAUGUAUUCACAUUUACGAACUUAUAUUUGAGAUUUAUAAUUGUGCUCGAUGGAAUUGAUUUUACAUACAACAGGUAUGGAUAGAUUGCAAGAAUCCGAUUGACAUGGUGGUUCUGUUGUGUGGUCCGGAACCCGAUUUGGUUGGAUUCCGUUUGAGUGGUCCGGAAUCCUUACUCUCGCAUAUAUUUUCAAAGGGUUAGUCUAAAACCCUAGAUUCAAGUGAAUGAGGAUUAUCCACAUUAGACCUUGUGAAUAUAAAAUAGAUUUACCAUGUUAUUGCUCAUAAUCCAAGAAGGGUAUUAUACAGAGUUCCCUGGGUUAAAUUGUGAAAUGAUAUGUUUCUACAUGCGUUGAUUAACAUAAUUAAAUGCUAAGAUCAUAUAUCUUUAAUUCAUGAAUUGAUUGAUUGACGGGAUUGUGGAAUGACCUUGGUUUUGGUUGUUAAUAUUAUGAUUAUUUUUAAUUGAUCAAUGUGGCUUGAGAAUAUUAUGUGCUUCGUUGGUUAUUCAAUAUGUUACAGGCUGUGGAUGGAAGUAUCGUGCUAAAAAUAUGGAAUUUAUAUAAUGGAUGGAAUGAGAACUUUGAACGGGUAACGAGGAGGUUAGAUGCAGCCAUAAAGCUUACGAAAAAUUAUUAUGCGACUUGGACCUUGAAUUAUGCUAUGUACAUAUUCCAAAGGCGGGAUAUAUUCGAGAUACAGGUAUUUGAUGACGUCACGUGUCGAUCUUGGACGUACGUCGGGAUCGGGGCGUGACAGUAUAACUACGGAAUACUGUUGUUGGAGAUGUUAACUGGCAAGAGGCCGACAUAUGACAUGUUUAAUAGUGGUGUAGACCUACAUAAUUUUGUUAUGAUGGCGCUACCAGAAUGUGCGGGAGAAAUAUGUGAUCCACUACUUGUUCAAAUAGAAGAAAGCCUCAACAGUACUAAUCCCAUAAGUAAUAGGGGGAAUCAUGCCUCAAAUGAUCGAAGAAAAAGGGUUGUAGAGUGCUUGACUUCCAUUGCAAGAGUAGGAGUUGCUUGUUCUGUAGCGAUGCCGAGAGAGCGAAAAGACAUGAGCAAUGUGGUAGCUGAAUUGAGUCUAAUAAGGGAUGUGCUAACUGGAACUAGGAUGCCUAGAGAGUAUCCGUGAUGACGAUCCAAGUAGUGAGUAAUAAUACCCUAUUAUCGUUAAAUAAAAUCCCAUGACUGUGCUGGAACUUUGCAUGGUGAUCUUCUGAAUGAUGACGAGGAGGACUGGAUCAAGUGAAGUGGAUUUUCCUGUUUUUGUCACUUUGUUUGUUUUGUGAAUGAUCUUAAUUUGUAAGAUCAUCUUUAUGUUUUGUUGGAAAUUUGGAAUUUGUCAAUUUAAGGUUGGUUCAUGUUCUUAUAAUUUUUUUUUUCGAACCAACGAUAUUAUUUACA